rnacentral:rRNA from 1 species
CAUCCUCCAAGGCUAAAUACUCCUGACUGACCGAUAGUGAACCAGUACCGUGAGGGAAAGGCGAAAAGAACCCCGGCGAGGGGAGUGAAAAAGAACCUGAAACCGUGUACGUACAAGCAGUGGGAGCACAGGUUUACCUGUGUGACUGCGUACCUUUUGUAUAAUGGGUCAGCGACUUAUAUUCUGUAGCAAGGUUAACCGAAUAGGGGAGCCGUAGGGAAACCGAGUCUUAAUUGGGCGUUAAGUUGCAGGGUAUAGACCCGAAACCCGGUGAUCUAGCCAUGGGCAGGUUGAAGGUUGGGUAACACUAACUGGAGGACCGAACCGACUAAUGUUGAAAAAUUAGCGGAUGACCUGUGGCUGGGGGUGAAAGGCCAAUCAAACCGGGAGAUAGCUGGUUCUCCCCGAAAGCUAUUUAGGUAGCGCCUCGUGAAUUCAUCUCCGGGGGUAGAGCACUGUUUCGGCUAGGGGGCCAUCCCGGCUUACCAACCCGAUGCAAACUGCGAAUACCGGAGAAUGUUAUCACGGGAGACACACGGCGGGUGCUAACGUCCGUCGUGAAGAGGGAA